GACGAACGCUGGCGGCGUGCUUAACACAUGCAAGUCGAGCGAGGUCCAACCAGUGGCAACACUGGGGAAGACCUAGCGGCGAACGGGUGAGUAACACGUGAGAAACCUGCCCCGAAGUCUGGGAUAACCCGAGGAAACUCGAGCUAAUACCGGAUAUCUCCUUCUGAUCGCAUGGUCGGAAGAAGAAAGAACUUCGCUUCGGGAGGGUCUCGCGGCCUAUCAGCUUGUUGGCGGGGUAACGGCCCACCAAGGCGUCGACGGGUAGCUGGUCUGAGAGGACGAUCAGCCACACUGGGACUGAGACACGGCCCAGACUCCUACGGGAGGCAGCAGUGGGGAAUAUUGCGCAAUGGGCGAAAGCCUGACGCAGCAACGCCGCGUGCGGGAUGAAGGCCUUCGGGUUGUAAACCGCUUUCAGUGGGGACGAAAUUGACGGUACCCACAGAAGAAGCCCCGGCCAACUACGUGCCAGCAGCCGCAGUAAAAC
rnacentral:rRNA from 1 species